AUUGAACGCUGGCGGCAUGCCUUACACAUGCAAGUCGAACGGUAACAGGGAGCUUGCUCCGCUGACGAGUGGCGAACGGGUGAGUAAUGCGUCGGAGCGUGCCGAGUAGUGGGGGAUAACGCAUCGAAAGGUGUGCUAAUACCGCAUACGUACUGAGGUAGAAAGUGGGGGACCUUCGGGCCUCACGCUAUUCGAGCGGCCGACGUCUGAUUAGCUAGUUGGUGAGGUAAAGGCUCACCAAGGCGACGAUCAGUAGCGGGUCUGAGAGGAUGAUCCGCCACACUGGGACUGGGACACGGCCCAGACUCCUACGGGAGGCAGCAGUGGGGAAUUUUGGACAAUGGGCGCAAGCCUGAUCCAGCCAUGCCGCGUGUCUGAAGAAGGCCUUCGGGUUGUAAAGGACUUUUGUCAGGGAAGAAACGGUUGUGGCUAAUAUCCAUGGCUAAUGACGGUACCUGAAGAAUAAGCACCGGCUAACUACGUGCCAGCAGCCGCGGUAAGAC
rnacentral:rRNA from 1 species